UGAGGAAUAUUGGUCAAUGGGCGAGAGCCUGAACCAGCCAAGUAGCGUGCAGGAUGACGGCCCUCCGGGUUGUAAACUGCUUUUAGUUGGGAAUAAAAAAAGGGACUUGUCCCUUCUUGUAUGUACCUUCAGAAAAAGGACCGGCUAAUUCCGUGCCAGCAGCCGCGGUAAUACGGAAGGUCCAGGCGUUAUCCGGAUUUAUUGGGUUUAAAGGGAGCGUAGGCGGAUUGUUAAGUCAGCGGUUAAAGGGUGUGGCUCAACCAUGCAUUGCCGUUGAAACUGGCGAUCUUGAGUGCAGACAGGGAUGCCGGAAUUCGUGGUGUAGCGGUGAAAUGCUUAGAUAUCACGAAGAACUCCGAUCGCGAAGGCAGGUGUCCGGGCUGCAACUGACGCUGAGGCUCGAAAGUGUGGGUAUCAAACAGGAUUAGAUACCCUGGUAGUCCACACAGUAAACGAUGUAUACUCGCGGUUUGCGAUAGAGUGUAAGCCGCCAAGCGAAAGCAUUAAGUAUACCACCUGGGGAGUACGCCGGCAACGGUG
rnacentral:rRNA from 1 species